rnacentral:rRNA from 1 species
CCUACGGGCGGCAGCAGUGGGGAAUAUUGCACAAUGGGGGAAACCCUGAUGCAGCGACGCCGCGUGAGUGAAGAAGUAUUUCGGUAUGUAAAGCUCUAUCAGCAGGGAAGAAAAUGACGGUACCUGAGUAAGAAGCCCCGGCUAACUACGUGCCAGCAGCCGCGGUAAUACGUAGGGGGCAAGCGUUAUCCGGAUUUACUGGGUGUAAAGGGAGCGUAGACGGCAGCACAAGUCUGGAGUGAAAUGCCGGGGCUUAACCCCGGAACUGCUUUGGAAACUGUGAAGCUAGAGUGCAGGAGAGGUAAGUGGAAUUCCUAGUGUAGCGGUGAAAUGCGUAGAUAUUAGGAGGAACACCAGUGGCGAAGGCGGCUUACUGGACUGUAACUGACGUUGCGGCUCGAAAGCGUGGGGAGCAAACAGGAUUAGAUACCCCUGUAGUC